rnacentral:lncRNA from 1 species
UAAUUAUGUCCUUAUUGUAAAGAGAUGUAUAGCCACAGAGCUGGAGAAAACCAAAGGUAGGCAAGUCAGUCCUUGGUCUUGUCUGGAUGCAAGCAAUACUAUAUGCUUUUGUCCACGCUACUCUUCCCUGUAGACAUCUACAUUGCAAGAUCACUGUUUGCAGCCUUGAGACCUAGACUUACUCUUUUACAGAUCAUGUCCCAGGAGGACAACUCCAGAAUGGCCUACAAAAUACUGGCUUGGGUGAGCUCCAGACAGCUACAAGGA